GCGUGAGUGAUGAAGGCCCUAGGGUUGUAAAGCUCUUUCGGCGGGGAAGAUAAUGACGGUACCCGCAGAAGAAGCCCCGGCCAACUUCGUGCCAGCAGCCGCGGUAAUACGAAGGGGGCUAGCGUUGCUCGGAAUCACUGGGCGUAAAGCGCACGUAGGCGGAUCUUUAAGUCGGGGGUGAAAUCCUGGAGCUCAACUCCAGAACUGCCUUCGAUACUGAGGAUCUCGAGUCCGGGAGAGGUGAGUGGAACUCCGAGUGUAGAGGUGAAAUUCGU
rnacentral:rRNA from 1 species